rnacentral:rRNA from 1 species
UACAGAGGGUGCAAGCGUUAAUCGGAAUUACUGGGCGUAAAGCGUGCGUAGACGGUUAUGUAAGUCAGAUGUGAAAGCCCCGGGCUCAACCUGGGAAUUGCAUUUGAGACUGCAUAGCUAGGGUGCGGAAGAGGGAAGCGGAAUUCCGGUGUAGCGGUGAAAUGCGUAGAUAUCGGAAGGAACACCAGUGGCGAAAGCGGCUUCCUGGUCCAGCACCGACGUUCAGGCACGAAAGCGUGGGGAGCAAACCAGGAUUAGAUACCCUGGUCGAGUCCAGGACCAAGUCGACUACCUGACCUAAUCCACGGCACGCCGAUACCGAGGAAC